rnacentral:rRNA from 1 species
UACGAAGGGGGCUAGCGUUGUUCGGAAUUACUGGGCGUAAAGCGUGCGCAGGCGGUUCGCUGUGUCCUGUGUGAAAGCCCCGGGCUUAACCUGGGAAUGGCAUGGGAAACUGGCGAGCUUGAGUGCGGCAGAGGGGGGUGGAAUUCCGCGUGUAGCAGUGAAAUGCGUAGAGAUGCGGAGGAACACCGAUGGCGAAGGCAGCAUCCUGGGUCGACACUGACGCUCAGGCACGAAAGCGUGGGGAGCAAACAGG